rnacentral:RNase_P_RNA from 1 species
GUAGCGCCGUGGCAAUCCAUGCGGCGGUUCAAUUUCCUGGAGCGCCGAUACAAUCUGAACCGCCUUCUGGGCAGUCCGCGAUACUUCGCUUGCGAGGAAUGACAAAAAACAUUCCGGCUUCGGAUGGUGUCGGCAUCUGAACCGAAAACGCUCUAAUGGCCGGGCACCGCGAGGUGACGGAAAGUGCAACAGAAAACAAACCGCCGAUGGCCCGCGCAAUGCGGGAUCAGGCAAGGGUGAAAUGGCGGGGUAAAAGCCCACCGCGGGGCUGGUGACAGUCCCGGCACGGCAAACCCCAUCUGGGGCAAGGCCAAAUAGGGGGGCAUGACGUGGCUCGCGCCGCCUCUGGGUAGGCCGCUGGAGCACCACGGCAACGUGGUGCCAAGAUGAAUGAUUGCCCGGUGUCCUUCGGGACAUUCGACAGAACCCGGCUUAUCGGCGAACUUCCCGU